ACGUGUGUAGUGUAGCGGUUAUCAUCCUUGCGUAAGUUCUAUUCCCUAAUAGGGUAUCUCAUCUAACUCUCAUAGCUUCCAUUCAUAGUUAGCAAGGGACCCGGAUUCGACUCCCGGCGCACGUA
rnacentral:tRNA from 1 species